rnacentral:rRNA from 1 species
UUGGAGGGCAAGUCUGGUGCCAGCAGCCGCGGUAAUUCCAGCUCCAAUAGCGUAUAUUAAAGUUGUUGCAGUUAAAAAGCUCGUAGUUGAAUUUCGAGAUCAAUUUGUCGGUCGUGCCUCGGUACGUACUGGCAUUAUUGAUUUCUCCCUUCUGAAGAACCGCGAUGUCAUUAAUUUGGUGUCGUGGGGAAUCAGGACUGUUACUUUGAAAAAAUUAGAGUGUUUAAAGCAGGCGCACGCUUGAAUACAUUAGCAUGGAAUAAUGAAAUAGGACGUUUGAUUCUAUUUUGUUGGUUUCUAGGAUCGACGUAAUGAUUAAUAGGGAUAGUUGGGGGCAUUAGUAUUCAAUUGUCAGAGGUGAAAUUCUUGGAUUUAUUGAAGACUAACUACUGCGAAAGCAUUUGCCAAGGAUGUUUUCAUUAAUCAAGAACGAAAGUUAGGGGAUCGAAGACGAUCAGAUACCGUCGUAGUCUUAACCAUAAGCUAUGCCGACUAGGGAUCGGAUGAUGUUAAUUUUUUAAUGACUCAUUCGGCGCCUUACGGGAAACCAAAGUGUUUGGGUUC